rnacentral:rRNA from 1 species
UUCAAGCUAUCGUCUUUGGAUGGGUCGCGUCCCAUUAGCUUGUUGGUAGGGUCAUGGCCUACCAAGGCGACGAUGGGUAGCUGGUCUGAGAGGAUGAUCAGCCACACUGGGACUGGAACACGGCCCAGACUCCUACGGGAGGCAGCAGUGGGGAAUAUUGGGCAAUGGGCGCAAGCCUGACCCAGCAACGCCGCGUGAGGGACGAAGGUCUUCGGAUCGUAAACCUCAGUCAGGAGGGAAGAAAUGGGUUGUCCUGAACAGGGAUGGCCUUUGACGGUACCUCCAGAGGAAGCACCGGCCAACUCCGUGCCAGCAGCCGCGGGUAAUACGGAGGGUGCAAGCGUAAUUCGGAAUCACUGGGCGUAAAAGCGCACGGUAGGCGGCUUUUGCAAGUCAGGUGUGAAACCCUCGGUUCAACCGAGGAAUUGCACUUGACACUGUAGAGCUCGGAGUCCGGGAGAGGGGUGGCCGGAAUUCCCAGGUGUAGGAGUGAAAUCCCGUAGAAUAUCUGGAGGAACACCCAGAAGGCGAAGGCGGCCCACCCUGGACCCGAAACUUGACGCCUUGAGGUUGCCGACAAAAGCUUGGGGAGCCAACCAGGAUUAGAUUACCCCUGGAAGUUAACGCCCGUAAAACAAUGGAUGCUAGAAUCGUGGGUUUUGUACAGACAUUCGGGGUUGGGAGUAAACGCGUUAAGAAUCCCCGCCCUGGGGAGUACCGGUCGCAAGGGUUGAACUCAAGAACUUGACGGGGGCCCGCACAAGCGGUGGAGUAUGUGGUUUAAUUCGAUCGAACGCGAAGAACCUUACCUGGGCAUGACAUCCCGGGAACCUCCUGGAAACAGGGGCGUGCCAUUCGGGGAACCCAGGUGACAGGGUGCAUGCAUUGGCUUGUCGUCAGCCUCGUGCCGUGAGGUGUUGGGUUAAGUCCCGCAACGAGCGCGACCCUUGUCCUUAGUUGCCAUCAGGUAAAGCUGGGCCCUCUAGGGAGACUGCCGAGGUGAACUCGGAGGAAGGUGGGGGACGACGUCAAGUCAUCAUGGCCCUUACGCCCAGGGCUACACACGUACUACAAUGGUGGGUACAAAGGGAAGCCAAGCCGCGAGGUGGAGCCAAUCCCGAAAAGCCUACCCCAGUUCAGAUCGCAGUCUGCAACUCGACUGCGUGAAGGCGGAAUCGCUAGUAAUCGCGGAUCAGCAUGCCGCGGUGCAUACGUUCCCGGGCCUUGUACACACCGCCCGUCACACCACGAAAGCUGGCUCUACCCGAAGUCAGUGAGC